rnacentral:lncRNA from 1 species
UAGCUGAGCAAAAGACACCCAGACACAGACUCCACUUUCCCAUCUAGCUUGUAGCUAGGCAUGACAAACUAAUUCCUAGACAAAGGAAGGUAAGCUAAAGUGAUGUACGCAACUUCCUACUCUCUCAUUGCUUGCUUGAGCUUCCUUUCUUCUCGUCUUACUAUGGGUUUCCUGACAUGGCAGAAACUCGCUUUGGCAAUUCAAACGGAGUGGCACAUCAGGAUGGGUGUGUGUAUCUUUGAAUGACCUCAUGAGGCUGACUUGCCCUCCUAGCAGCAUGGACCAGACAGUUACAUGAGAGGCCAAUAUGGUGAGAUAAUGGCUCAUGGCAGACAACAAACAUCUAUGCCUCGACUAACUGUUCCCGAAACUACUGUCCAUUAAUUAAUCCUAAAGCCAAAAGAGGGUAAUAAUCAGAAAAGUAUUUUAUACCUAAGAGCUCAAAAGAUCAGAUAGAUGGGAAGAAUCACUGAAGCACUAAACGGUAUCAUACAGAUUUGAAAGUUACCAUUUUGCA